GAUGUACGCUGGCGGCGUGCCUAAUACAUGCAAGUCGAGCGAGCAGAUGAGGAGCUUGCUCCUCUGACGUUAGCGGCGGACGGGUGAGUAACACGUGGAUAACCUACCUAUAAGACUGGGAUAACUUCGGGAAACCGGAGCUAAUACCGGAUAAUAUAUUGAACCGCAUGGUUCAAUAGUGAAAGACGGUUUUGCUGUCACUUAUAGAUGGAUCCGCGCCGCAUUAGCUAGUUGGUAAGGUAACGGCUUACCAAGGCAACGAUGCGUAGCCGACCUGAGAGGGUGAUCGGCCACACUGGAACUGAGACACGGUCCAGACUCCUACGGGAGGCAGCAGUAGGGAAUCUUCCGCAAUGGGCGAAAGCCUGACGGAGCAACGCCGCGUGAGUGAUGAAGGUCUUCGGAUCGUAAAACUCUGUUAUUAGGGAAGAACAAAUGUGUAAGUAACUAUGCACGUCUUGACGGUACCUAAUCAGAAAGCCACGGCUAACUACGUG
rnacentral:rRNA from 1 species